GACGAACGCUGGCGGCGUGCUUAACACAUGCGAGUCGAACGGAAAGGCCCUGCUUUUGUGGGGUGCUCGAGUGGCGAACGGGUGAGUAACACGUGAGUAACCUGCCCUUGACUUUGGGAUAACUUCAGGAAACUGGGGCUAAUACCGGAUAGGAGCUCCUGCUGCAUGGUGGGGGUUGGAAAGUUUCGGCGGUUGGGGAUGGACUCGCGGCUUAUCAGCUUGUUGGUGGGGUAGUGGCUUACCAAGGCGUUGACGGGUAGCCGGCCUGAGAGGGUGACCGGCCACAUUGGGACUGAGAUACGGCCCAGACUCCUACGGGAGGCAGCAGUGGGGAAUAUUGCACAAUGGGCGGAAGCCUGAUGCAGCAACGCCGCGUGGGGGAUGACGGCCUUCGGGUUGUAAACCGCUUUCGCCUGUGACGAAGCGUGAGUGACGGUAAUGGGUAAAGAAGCACCGGCUAACUACGUG
rnacentral:rRNA from 1 species